ACUUUGACUGUGCAAAGGUAGCAUAAUCAAUUGACUUAUAAUUGAAGUCUGGAAUGAAAGGAUGCAUGGGAAAUAGCUGUCUUAAAUAGUGCAAAUAGAACUUACUUAAUAAGUGAAAAUGCUUAUAAAGAAAUAAUAGACGAGAAGACCCUUGAAAUUUUGUUUAAAAUCCCUAACGAUUAAAAUUUUGUUGGGGCGACAGAAUAGCACGUAACCUAUUCUAUGUUAUUGACAUUUAUAUAAAGUAAUAAUAAAUUACUCUAGGGAUAACAGCAUAAUUUUUUAAAAGAUUGUGACCUCGAUGUUGG
rnacentral:rRNA from 1 species